UACGUAGGGUGCGAGCGUUAAUCGGAAUUACUGGGCGUAAAGCGUGCGCAGGCGGUUUUGUAAGUCAGAUGUGAAAGCCCCGGGCUCAACCUGGGAACUGCGUUUGAAACUACAAGGCUAGAGUAUGGCAGAGGGGGGUAGAAUUCCACGUGUAGCAGUGAAAUGCGUAGAUAUCCGGAGGAAUACCAAAGGCGAAGGCAGUGUCCUGGCUGGCAUCUGACGCUGAGGCGCGAAAGCUAGGGGAGCGAACAGG
rnacentral:rRNA from 1 species